AAACCGCUGGCUUUAAGCCCGGUUUAAUCUUCUAGUUGCCUACUCCAUUUAAUCGAUUUGUGCCCUAGCCGCUCUCACCUCGCGUGGAUACAUGCCAGACGAUUGACGCCGCUCUCACCUCACCCCUUCUCACCCCUUCACGAGCUCCUCCAUUGCCUCCCUCAACUAAUUGAACCAAUGGAUUCCACCCGGUUAGCCUGCUCGCGAGCUCUUCUCUCUUACCCGUGAUUUUUGGACUUUUCACGGGCGCCUCCGUCGAGGAACUACCGGCUUAGCUCCAUGUUUGUCCAUUCCGGUGAGUAAGAAAAUAUAGAGUGGUAAUCUAAUGACUCUUUCUCAAUAUUUAGUUAUGUAUUGACAAGGUUAUCAGAUACUCUUUGCGAGAGCCCUUCAAAAACGAAAGGAAAAGCCCUUCAAAAACUAAGAACCAUUUCCUUGCAUAUGUUGGAGGUAAGGCUCACGUUGGUUCUUAUUCCAACUUCUUUUGUUUUCAUUUUUUUUAUGUACACAGAUAUCAAGAUGUGGUAAGCAAAUCUUGCUUGAGAAUGGCUUUGAGUUUGGAGCUUUACAUACACAAUGUUUUGCCAAACUUCAGUUUAAAAAAAAGAAGAAGAAAGAAAGCUGAAGUGUUUUUUUUGUCUCGAUUUGCUUUUCAGAUUGUUAAUCUUGUUCUACCUUUUAAAUUGACGACAGCUUCUUUGACUCCUCCAAGAAUGCGCACCAGGUGUUCGAUCAUUUGCUAACCAUACAAAUAUAUUUCUGGCAGCAUCCCCAACUUAACCUUCAUCGUUUGAAUUACAGUUUAUACACAACUUGUUCAAAUACACAAGUAUCACCAAACAUCCAAUGACAAAUUAUGAUAAUUUAUUCAUCAAAGAUUGAAGUUAGAGAAGCUCAUCAAGGUAGAGGAUUGGGCUAAACACAAGGAUGAAUAGAUCUUUAAUUUUAAGUUUUGGUCAUUGAAUCUUAUUUCAAAUCAAGUUUCUUGAGGUGUUGGAACAGCCGUUGUUUAAUCCAAUGUCGAUCGUAAGGAAGAAAAACAUGAAUAGAGUGAUCAAAGCUUCAAUUUGGACAUAAUAAGAUGUAUCAGUUUAUCAAAAAUAGAAUAGAGUGAUGCCUUGUGUAAGUAUAAAUGAUGUUUGAAAUAGUUAUGAUGGAGCUAAAGAUUAAUUUAUAUUUGUAUAGUAUUUUAUUGAUAUUUGUAAUUUGAUAACAAA